rnacentral:rRNA from 1 species
GACGAACGCUGGCGGCGUGCUUAACACAUGCAAGUCGAACGGUAAGGCCCUUCGGGGUACACGAGUGGCGAACGGGUGAGUAACACGUGGGUGAUCUGCCCUGCACUUCGGGAUAAGCCUGGGAAACUGGGUCUAAUACCGGAUAGGACUCCUGCCUGCAUGGGUGGGGGUGGAAAGCUUUUGCGGUGUGGGAUGGGCCGCGGCCUAUCAGCUUGUUGGUGGGGUGAUGGCCUACCAAGGCGACGACGGGUAGCCGGCCUGAGAGGGUGACCGGCCACAGUGGGACUGAGAUACGGCCCAGACUCCUACGGGAGGCAGGAGGGGGGAAUAUUGCACAAUGGGAGCAAGACUGAUGCAGCGACGCCGCGUGAGGGAUGACGGCCUUCGGGUUGUAAACCUCUUUCAGCACCGACGAAGCGCAAGUGACGGUAGGUGCAGAAGAAGGACCGGCCAACUACGUGCCAGCCGCCGCCGUAA